UUUCCGUAGGUGAACCUGCGGAAGGAUCAUUACAGAGUUCAUACACUAAAGGGUCGACCGCCCACCCUUGUUUAUUAUUACUUUCUUGCCUUGGCGGGCGCAAGGUCGCCAGAGAAUACCAAAACUCUUUUUACUAAUGUCGUCUGAGUACUAUAUAAUAGUUAAAACUUUCAACAACGGAUCUCUUGGUUCUG
rnacentral:misc_RNA from 1 species